UUUUUUUUUUCUUUUUUGGUAACUAUACUUAUCUUCCAGGGAAGUGUCCUUCACCCAAUCCACAGGGGUGGGCAUGCCACCAGGGCCCAGACAGUCAUAGUGCCCAAGCUGGGGGGCAGGGGUGUUUGCUGUGACAGCAAAUGCAAGGACAUGAAAUGCUUGGGACAGGGAGGCAUCAUAAAAAAACCCACCUUCCAUGGUCACAAAAUUGAGGUAUAAUUAAAAAGUUUAGCUCCAUGAAAAGAUGAACCAGCCGCUGGUGUCUGAGGCAUGGGAAAGAGCCGAGGCCCGCAGGGGUACAGGCGAGAAAUAAAGCAGUAAGGUGGGUCCUGCCUGUUACCACCCAACUCACUCAGGCAACACCUCCUCAGAACCACCAGGUAGGGGGAAGGCAGGGCCACCAGGGCACCAAAGGAAGAAGAGGAGGAACUGGAGGUUCCUGUGCCCCUGUCCAUAGGGCUGAGUCCAGAGACAUUGUGCUGGUGAGAGAGCCGAGCCACCUACAAGGGUUUUGAAGGGGCCUGGGUGAUGAGAGCCCUGGAUAGAGUCACAGUGACUAGGCUUGUCUGGAUGAGAACAGUUUUUUUGUUGUUGUUGUUGUUUUGUUUUUGUUUUUUGCCAUUUCUUAGGCUGCUCCUGCAGCAUAUGGAGGUUCCCAGGCCAAGGGUGAGUCCCUGAAGAGCAAAGAAAGAAAGACAGAGAGGGAGAGAGAGAAAGAAAGAAGGAAAGAAAGAAAGGAAGGAAGGAAGGAAGGAAGGACCAAAGAAAGAAAAAGAAAGAAAGAAAUUAGGCCAAUUAAUAACCCUAUGAUGGCCUCUAAGUAUUUAAGUGAAAGGGAGAGUUACAGGUCUCUAACUUUUUGUUUUUUGUUUGUUUGUUUUGUCUUUUUGCCUUUUCUAGGGCUGCUCCUGCGGCAUAUGGAGGUUCCCAAGCUAGGGGUCCAAUCGGAGCUGUAGCCACCGGCCUACGCCACAGCCACAGCAACGCAAGAUCCGAGCCGCGUCUGCGACCUACACCUACACCAUAGCUCACGGCAACGCUGGAUCCUUAACCCACUAAGCAAGGGCAGGGAUCGAACCUGCAACCUCAUGGUUCCUAGUUGGAUUCGUUAACCACUGCGCCAUAACGGGAAUUCCUGGUCUCUCACUUUUAAUUAGAAUGAUUUAGAAAUCACUUAGAAAUGGUUGAGCUUAGCGAGGAAAGCGUGUUGAAAGCCAAGACAGGCCGAAAGCUGGGCCUCUUGUGCCUAAGUAAGGCAAGGUGUAAAUGCAAAGGCAAAUUUCUUGAAGGAAAGGUAAAGGGCGGCUCCCCUGGAGCCAAGAAUGACAAGAAAGCGAAACGGCCCUCUUGCCUAAGAGCCAAGGAAGGGUCCAGAAGCAGAGACUGGAUGUUUAGGAAUAAAUCUCUGUAGCUGACUCAAGAGAGAGAGACAUGAGAUCCUUGGAUAUUCCUUUUAUUUAUCGGUGGUAGGAAGUACACUUCUUUUGUAGAUAAUAAAAAAGGGAGGCUCAGAGAAGUUCGGGAACCUGCUUAAGAUCCCUCAUCCAAUGAGUCCAAGCCAAAAACACUUCCAGCCUCAAAGGCCACUUUGUUUCCGCUCUACUACAUACCCAUUCACUGGAAAAGCUGUGUCAUCUGAUGGUCAGGAGCACACAGUUUGGAACCAGACCGCCUCAACCUCCUCAUCUUGAAAGUAAGGAUAAUGUCCUCACCUCAGAACACUAUUAUGAAGAUUACACUGUUGGUAAGUGCAGGAGUUCCCGCUGUGGCUCAGCAGGUUAAGGACCUUAUGUUGUCUCUAUGAGGAUGCAGGUUUGAUGCCUGGCCUCACUCACUGGGUUAAGGAUCCAGAGGUGCCACAAGCUGCGGUGUAACUCACAGAUGUGGCUCAGCUCCCACUAUUGCUAUGCUGUGGCGCAGGCCGGCAGCUGCAGCUCCAGGAUGACCCCUAGCCUGGGAAUUUCCAUAUGCUGCAGGUGCGGCCAUGAAAGGAAAAAAGGGAAAAAAUAUUAAGUGUGAAACAAAUGUCAACUGGAAGCAGUGGUGGUGGCAGCAGCAGUAGGCUGGGUUUUACUUUGUGCCUUUGUGUGUAACAGGAAGAGAGGGGUAGGUGGGGGUUAGGGUUGUGGAUUUCACUGCAAGUGAGUUUAAUAUAUCAUUUAUUUAACCAAAAUGGGGCACCUGGUGGGAAAAAGACUUUGUUGGGUGCCAGGUGCAAAGCCUGAGCUCCCUUGACCAAGCCUGUCUUUCCCCAAGGGUGGAUGGGGGAUGACAGAAUGACAUGCUGAGUGGGGCCCUUCGGCUUCUGCUGAAGCCAGAGACUCUCCACUGAGAGGGGGAUCCCCCAACUUGGGGAGUCCAGGAAAGCUAACAAGAGCUACCACCAUAUGUGGCACCUGUGGCCCUGAAAAGCAAAAAAAAAAAAAAAAAAGAAAGAAAAGAAUUGCUAGGCUUAAAGGCAGGAUGCUGGUAGUUUGGCCUCCCGGAAGGCCUGUCUUCAACUACCCCACGAAAAGAGCUGUUUUUAUAUCUUUACAAAGAAGACCACGCGUUCCCCCCCCGCCCGGAACCCAUUCCUCCAUCCCACAACACACACAGUCUAGCAAUUCUUUCUUUUCUUUUUGCCUUUUUGUCUUUUUAGGGCCACACCCGCAGCAUAUGGAGGUUCCCAGGCAAGGGGUUGAAUCAGAGCUGCAGCUGCCAGCCUACGCCACAGCCACAGCAACACAGGAUCCGAACCGCUUCUGUGACCUACACCACAGUUCACAGCAGUGCCAGAUCCUUAACCCACUGAGCCAGGCCAGGGAUUGAACCCGCGUCCUCAAGGAUGCUAGUCAGGUUUGUUAACCGCUGAGCCACGACAGGAACUCCUAGCGAUUCUUUCUCACAUCAAAUCCACAUCCCUCCUGCUGCAAGGAAACUACUACCCUUUUCUUGUCAGUCCUUGUCUGAAACAGAGGACAGCUGUUCUCACUUGCGCAAAGCUCUUGAGGACUAACUGAUCAAGAGGCUGGGGGUGGAGGGUAAAGGAAGAACUGUCUGACCUUGGUUCUGGAUAAGCCCUCAGGGAAAAUGCUUCUCUUCUUCCAGGACCCUAAUGAGCUAAACAGAAGGACAUUCAAGUGGCAGCUCCUAGACUUCACUCCUGGACUUGGAGUGUUACUGUUCAGACUGUUUCUUCACUUAAAAGUGAGUUUUGUGACACAAAAGGAAGGACAGGUAAAGCCAAGAUAUGAACUGGCUGUUUUCUGUAACCUACCGAAACAAGAACGGCACGUGACAUGCCUUUAAAAUCUGUGGAUUUGUUCCAAGGGACGAGUAUGGGUUGAUAAACUGAACAGAGGUUGUCAUCUGAGUGUCUUAGGGGACCUAGCUCAAGUGUCAUGUUCCUGUUUGUUUGGGGCUGUGAGGUUUGUGUUCACAGCUUCAUGGUUAUUCCCAGCACUUAAGGAGAAAAAAACGACCCUACCUGUUCAGUGACUAAUGGGUGGAAAAGAAGUCUGCAAUCCAUCCGGCAGAGUGGCUCAUUCUUUCCCCUCCUGCCCCGAUGCCAUGCUAUUUAGUUAUGAGUGUGUCUUUCCCGUUUUCCCCAUUGGGAUUGCUACAUUCUUGCUGUUGUCUUGGGCAGAUUACCAAAAUGGAGUUUAUGAUUCAUUGACCCAAAUUAUGUUCCCACUGACAAUAUCUGCAGAAAUUCGGUUCAACAAUGGCUUGCUGAGUUUACUGAAAACAUACAUCGCUCCCUGGAAUUCACCCACCCCAAUCAGGCCAACAGAAGAGCAAAUUAAAUCUUAUCUCCUUGGAUGUCCUUGAGGAAGAACAUCCUGGUCUUGGCAGUUCACUGCAUAUUUACAAAAAGCUACGAGAAAGCAAGAUCGUGAACAGGUCUUCUGUGAAUUGCAGUUAAAUCCCUAGGCCUAUGUGAAAGACCUCUCGGUAUGGACAACAACCUAUUUUCCUAAAUCACAACCCUGGGAUGAAGGUCCCAUGCUCGUUUUUUUGUGUGUGUGCGCGAGAAGCACGGGUAGGCAUUUUUCCCAGCAAGCAGGUGAAGUGCGUAGCAACCAGGCUCUAUCUUUGAUUUCUCUUGCCCAUGAUCCGAGGGAGGAAGCAAAGUAAUAUAAAAGUUAAGAAAGCAAACAUAUAUUGCUUUCCUGGAUAGAUCAACUUCUCCCAUAGUGAUUUUUGCCUUUGUACACUUUGUCUUUGAAUGACAUAAAGUAAAAGGUAAAAUCCUAGUUCAUUAGUUUAUAACCUGUUGAGCAGAGGUGGGUGGAAUCCUUGCAAAGCAAAAUAGAAGCAUGAGGAUGGAGCGGGCAUACUCUGUCCUGUCUUUCCCACUGAAUUCAGUUAUAAAAACUGGAAAGAAUUCAUGAAGCAGCUAUUUAAGGACUGUGAAAAAUAAAUGAUAGCAGGUAGAUUGGGAAAGAAGACCAGAAUUUGAAGUACCACAGAACCAGCACUGAGUUCCCUCCUCCCACUUUUUUCCCCUUGGUGUCCCUUGGCUGGACUCAAAGCAGCCUAAAAACUGAAAGUGAGAAUGAGACAUGAGUAGAGAGUUCCAGGCGAAGCCCUCCACUUCUAGCUCAACAAGCAGAAAGGAAACUCCUAAUGCUUAGCAGGAGUGGAGAAAAUGGUCCAUUUUUCUUUUCUCUGUUUUAUGGUCCCCUAGUCCCCAGACAAUCCUGAGGAGGUGGGGACAUCCCAGAAGUGGGAUCCAUGGCACUAAAACCAUGAGAAAAGGGAAACUCCCACUCUGAUUUGAGGAGCUGUGGUCUCCGGGCAGUGGGCUAUUUCUCUCUGUUCUGCUGCCACUUGGCCCCAGAUGUAGAUGCGCUCACGGAAGUAGGCGGCAGAGCAAGGGAACUAGAGCCCCAGCUCUCAGAUUAAGGGAAUGAAAAAUGGAGCCUCGGGGAGCCAGAAAGUACGGGGGAGUUUGUGGGUAGGGAGGAUCUUGGGACAUUGUUGAUGAAUUCCUGAGCUUAUCCACAAGCUUCGCAUGCAUGAACCUGACUCUAAACAACAUACUACAGACUUUGAAGACUGAACUAUGGGAGAGACCACAGCCCGCAUCCAAGGCUGGCCACAGGGUCAUUACAUGAGGGGCAGAUCAGAGUCGCAUUGCAAAGGCUUUAAAAACUGAAUUGACAUUGGAACCACUCACACAGAAGUAUAUAGCUGGAACAUAUAGCUGGAAAAACCCAGCUUAGCUGCCUACUAAACCAAAAGCAUCAGCAAUCUCCAUGGGAUUUAAACAAGACCCAGAGUCUCAUAACAUAAUAUUGAAAGUAUCCAAAAUAUAAUUAAAAAUUUCAAGGCAUACAAUGAACCAAAAACAUUUCAACUUGCAUAGGAAGAGCUAGUCAACAGAUGUCAACAGUAAGAUGAUACAGAUGUUGGAAUAAUCAAAGACUUUAAAGCAACUAUUAUAAGAUUCCUCGAGGAAGUAAGGUAGAACGUUCUUGACUGAAAUAGAAUGGUAGAAAGUCUCAGUAAAGAAAUAGAAUUAUUUAAAAAAAGAAAAGAACAAAAUGGUAAUUUUAGAAUUAGAUAAUACAGUAACUAAACUUCUAAGAAUACAUGGGCAUUCUCGUCAUGGCUCAGAGGAAACAAAUCUGACUAGUAUCCAUGAUGAUGCAGGUUUGAUCCCUGGCCCCGCUCAGCGGGUCUGGGAUCUGAUGAUGCCGAGAGCUGUAGUGUAGGUCACAGACUCGGCUUGGAUCUUUCGAUGCUCUGGCUGUGGCAUAGGCCAGCAGCUGUAACUCGAUUUGACCUGGGAACUUCUAUAUGCCACAGGUGUGGCCCUAAAAAGCAAAAUAAAAUAAAAUAAAAAAAUACAUGGAUGGAUGUAAAUCAACUAUAAUAAAUUUUUUAAAUAAACAAGAAAAGAUAUUAAAAUAUAUGGAUGGGUCCAUUUUAUUUAUUAUAUUUAAAAACGGCAGAAUGGAGAUGCUAGAGGAAAGAAUCAAUGAACUUGAAAAUAAAUCAAUAGAAAUCAUCUAAUCUCAACAACAGUAAAGAAAAAAAUUGAAAACAAACAAAAAAGAGGAGUACCUCAGGGACAUAUGGGACAUUGCCAAAGUCAUUGGACAUUUUUAGGUCUAAUAUUGAUGUCAUUGGCAUCUUAGAAAGAGAACAGAAAGAAUGCAGUGCAGAAAAAUUAUUAGAGGAAAUAACGACUUGAACUUUCCAUAUUUUGUGAAAGACAUAUUUUUUUAAUGGCUGCGCUCAUGGUAUUUGGAAGUUUCUGGGUCAGGGAUUGAAUCCAACCCUCAGCUGUGGCAACGCUGGAUCCUUUAACCCACUGCGUCAGGCCAGGGAGUGAACCUGCACCUCUGCAGCCAUCUGAGCCACUGCAGUCGGAUUCUUAACCCACUGCACCACAGUGGGAACCCCCAAAGAUAUUAAUAUUUAGAUUCAAGCCGUUCAGCGAACUUGCAAAAGCAGAAAUCCAAAGACAUCCAUAUCAAGAGACACUAUAAUUAAAUUGUUGAAAA
rnacentral:lncRNA from 1 species